UAGGGAAUCUUCCGCAAUGGACGCAAGUCUGACGGAGCAACGCCGCGUGAGUGAAGAAGGAUUUCGGUUCGUAAAACUCUGUUGUUAGAGAAGAACAGCGCAUAGAGUAACUGUUAUGCGUGUGACGGUAUCUAACCAGAAAGCCACGGCUAACUACGUGCCAGCAGCCGCGGUAAUACGUAGGUGGCAAGCGUUGUCCGGCUUUAUUGGGCGUAAAGCGAGCGCAGGCGGUCAAUUAAGUCUGAUGUGAAAGCCCCCGGCUCAACCGGGGAGGGUCAUUGGAAACUGGUUGACUUGAGUGCAAAAGAGGAGAGUGGAAUUCCAUGUGUAGCGGUGAAAUGCGUAGAUAUAUGGAGGAACACCAGUGGCGAAGGCGACUCUCUGGUCUGUAACUGACGCUGAGGCUCGAAAGCGUGGGUAGCAAACAGG
rnacentral:rRNA from 1 species